CAAUAGCGUAUAUUAAAGUUGUUGCAGUUAAAAAGCUCGUAGUUGGAUUUCUGGUUGAAGCGACCGGUCGGGCGUUGACUCGUCUGCACUGGAGUCGGUUUUGGCCAUCCUCUAGGAAAGUGCGUCUGGUAUUAAGUUAUCGGGCGUAUGAUCCUGGUCUUUUACUGUGAAAAAAUUAGAGUGUUUAAAGCAGGCCUUCGCCUUGAAUACAUUAGCAUGGAAUAAUAAGAUAGGACUUUGGUCUAUUUUGUUGGUUUGCAGACCGAAGUAAUGAUUAAUAGGGAUAGUUGGGGGUAUUUAUAUUCCGAUGUCAGAGGUGAAAUUCUUAGAUUUUCGGAAGAUAAACUUAUGCGAAAGCAUUUACCAAGGAUGUUUNCAUUAA
rnacentral:rRNA from 1 species